AGUGAACGCUGGCGGUAGGCCUAACACAUGCAAGUCGAACGGCGGCACAGUAAGAGCUUGCUCUUACGGGUAGCGAGUGGCGGACGGGUGAGGAAUACAUCGGAAUCUACUUUUUCGUGGGGGAUAACGUAGGGAAACUUACGCUAAUACCGCAUACGACCUACGGGUGAAAGCAGGGGAUCUUCGGACCUUGCGCGAUUGAAUGAGCCGAUGUCGGAUUAGCUAGUUGGCGGGGUAAAGGCCCACCAAGGCGACGAUCCGUAGCUGGUCUGAGAGGAUGAUCAGCCACACUGGAACUGAGACACGGUCCAGACUCCUACGGGAGGCAGCAGUGGGGAAUAUUGGACAAUGGGCGCAAGCCUGAUCCAGCCAUACCGCGUGGGUGAAGAAGGCCUUCGGGUUGUAAAGCCCUUUUGUUGGGAAAGAAAAGCAGCAGGUUAAUACCCCGCUGUUCUGACGGUACCCAAAGAAUAAGCACCGGCUAACUUCGUG
rnacentral:rRNA from 1 species